AGGGAUCUCACACAGCACCGAGUCCAGUAGCAAGAACAGAAGACAGUAAGUGACAAGCCUUACGAAGAGCAGUCCAAAAUUCCCUCCCAGGGAAUAAAUAUCACGUUUACCAGUGCUGUCAGCACCCAGUGCCCAGCUCCGGGCAGCAGCAGCAGCACACCUGCAGAGGACUUCCCACUGAAUUUCAUCUUAGUCCCUCCCUUUCUUUAGCUGAGCAAGGAUGAAUCGAAGGCAACUGGACCAGUAAUUUAUUACAAAGACAGGUGCUGGAGACAGCAGAAAAGAAGCAAACAAGAAAGCAAGAAAGCAAGAUGGAGAGAUGGACAUGCUUAACUACAAGAUACAAUUUGCCUGGACUACAAUUUAUUUGCACACCAGAUGUCUGUAUGGUUCAGGCUGACAGCACUGCAAAGGGUGGGAAGUUUAACGCUGCCCAGAGCCAAAUAAAAGGG
rnacentral:lncRNA from 7 species